CCCGUUUCUUUCUUCUGAGACUGUGCAGCUUGCCCAAAGCCACUCAGGCUGGCGCUUCUCCCAGAAGGCACAGUCAGGGAAUUGAACUCCAAAGCUCGGGUUCCACAGUCAGAUACCCAACUCACUGAGCUAUCCAGCCUGCCUUCGAGGCUUGUAGAGCCAUUGAAAUAAAUGGCAUUGAAGCUAUGACUAACUGAAGCCCCCUUGAUUUCAAGAUGUCUACUCUAAAUAUGACUAAACCCAGAUCCAAUCCACUGAGGGAAUGCUUCUUAAACCAGCUGCAAAUCAGCCAUUGUUAACUGCUGACAACAUAGUUACAGCAGCAACAGCUCAGGUGCCUGUCGACAUAGCAAAGUCGAACCCACCACUGUUUUCUAGGACAGCGACUCAAGUCUCAGCCAGGACGUAUGGUAGUGGAAUGACCUUAUACUGUUGAAAUCUGGAGGGCAUCAGGUUGGUGAUACCUGAGAUAUUGGCAGUACUGGACAUCUUGCACAGUUCCA
rnacentral:lncRNA from 1 species